rnacentral:lncRNA from 1 species
CUAGAACUUAGGUAACCCUGGGAGGGCCAGUCCCUCCCCAGGUCCACAAGACCCCGAGAUAACAAAGCGUCAUAAAAUACAGAAAAUGAAAAAUACAAGAAAUACAAUCAGUGAAAAGUACUUAAGCUCUCUAAACCUCAGUCCCCCCAGAGUUAUAGACAUGGGGAAAAUAAGACCUGUGUCUGCUUUGCUCACGGUGAUCAAACCGUCAAUGGGAUCCAGGCAGCUUGCCACCAGCAUCCUCAGCAACUAUUGUGCUGCACUUACUCUCCAAAACACUGCUAAAGAAGUAGAGAUACCUAUCUCUGAGGUUGAAGUUCUAGGUUUGUGAAGAGCUAUCUGGAGCCUCAGGUGGAGGGAGAACUUGGUAACUCAAAUCAAGCCAGCUGGAGGGUAAGCGGUUAUAGGAAAUCGUUAGUGUCUGAAGGCAAUGGAAAGCUGCAGCUGUCGGUCCGUGACCACGACAGCGCUGGGUCCACUCCAGUCCACUGCAGCCCGCAGAGGCUCCUCUGCAAUGCUAGGUAAUCUCAGAACUCCUGAGCGGGAUCUGGGUUCUCCCAUGGAACCAGUUCCCUUGCUCUGAUGAUCAGGAAAAAGGUCAAGAGAUUAUAAAACCAGAGACUCUAUUAUCACACUGGUGACUGACUACCUGCAAAACAAAAUCAACAUAGACCCACUCAUAACACAUAAAUUGCGUUUUGAAAGGAUCAAUGAGGCAUUUGAAUUGCUCCAAGGUGGAAAAUGCAUCCGCUGCGUCCUCUUGUUUGAGAUCCCAGAUAGUAAAAAUGGAGCAUGAACAUGCAUAGGAGCGUUCUUUUAUGCCUUUUUCAACACUUUGAUGACUGAACUGAAACAUGUCGAACCCAAGAUUGGAAAGAGGGCACUUCUGGAAUUUUAGAAAUGGAACAAGUAUAAUAAAACAAACUACUUGGAAACUGACGUUUACAUUUCAGCCAAACACUUGAAGAGAAGAAUGAAGAAUUAGUGAUGAAAAGGGUUUUCUAUCCAUGCUAAUGAUCUGAUUUCACUUUAUAGUCGUUAUAUUAUGAAUAAGCCUCAAUGGACAGCUUGUAAUUUUUGAAAGUCUAUUUUCAGUAUGGAAUCCUUCUCCAGUGUUCUACACGUGGCUGAGUUGUCCUGUUAUGGAAAGAACUUCUACCCAUAGUCUGCCUUCAUGGGCAAGUAGUGGGAAGAAAGGUAACUAACUCUUUGAGUGUGAGCUUGACAUACAUUGGGCCAUAUUUUCCUAGCUGGACGAUGGAAGGGUUGAUAACUAUGCUUCAAAAGUGGUAAAACUCCAUGACACUCAAUCUUACCUGCCUUUCUCAAACAAAAACAAAUCUUUCCAUUUCUUCUCAAUAUACUGUUCUCACAUGGUGGGCCUACAGUUUUGGGGACAGAGCUGAGCCAUUGGUCAUUCCCUUUCUCUGCUCCAUUUCCCCAGCCUGUGAUUGAAUAGUUAAAUCUGGCCACUGAUUACAAAUGGAAUUUGGUGCCAAAUGGCUGUGGUUUUGCGGUAUUCAUCAACCAGAACCAUGGAAUAAAGAGAGGGUGGCUGGCAGGACUCAGGCAAACAAUUGCCACUCAAAUUCUUUAAUGAUAGCAGAGUCACAAAAAUUAUAAAGAAUUAAUUGUUGGCUCUACUCUUUGGCUAUAUCUUUGGCUAGAUUAUAUGAAAGACAUUCCUGGUAGGAAACCCCAAGAAAUGUAAAAUAAUAUGCAACAAACACCCCCUCAAAUCCAUGUUUGACCUAAAAAGAGGGGGGGUGGUGCUCCAGGGGAGCAGGAAGGCAAAUUAGCAAUGAGCAGUGAAGUUGCAUCUGACCUCAUGGCUUUUACUGAUCCAAGAACCUGUGCGGUGGGGUAAUAAGGGCAAAGCAAGGAACAUGCAGCCUUGGCGCUGGCUCAAUGUGGGGAGCUGGAAUGGAAACUCCUGCACACCCCACAUCUUCCAAGGGCUAUGACCUCAAAUAAACCAGAGGGGCUAGUAAAUAUUCCACCCACGGCAAAAGGAAACAAAAGGGACAAUUUUUUUUAAUAGCCUUAGAGAGGGAAAAUUCUCGUAUCAUAUUUUGUGAAAAUGUUCCCGCGCCCUGGGUUCUUGUCCCCCAGGAUAGAAAUCAAGAGACACAACAAACAGGAGUAGACAAGUAAAAGUUUAUUGGCUUCUGCACAAGGGAGGCACAAGGGGGCCUGUGUGGAAAGGAACAGGGCAGGUGACCCGGUCCUUAGGGAGCAGGAUCAUGAGGCUUUUAUUAGGCAAAGGCUGGGCAGGAGUGCCUUGUCACAGCAUGUAGAGGUGGGAUUGUGCUUGUGUCUGCGCUGUUGUUCGAGAUGCCACCUCCUGCGUCACAUGUAUCAUUAGCAGGCCAGCUCUCCCUCCCUGGGUGUGACUUCUACUAUCCUCAUGGGGCUAGGGUCGCCUUCAGGGGACUCCUGGGUGCUCGGGCUCAUGCGUUGGGCAGGAAAGUCCCGAGGCUGCAGAAUGUGGAUCUUGGUGGCCUCCAUCUGAUUCCCCCAGCUUGCAGAUGGGUUAGGGGCCUUAUCUUGUGAGGCCAGGGUCUUGCAGAUGACCCUGUCUCCUUAGGCUGGCUCCUGCCUCAAAAAUAUAUGUGCCCUCAGAUGAAUUCAAUUGGAAUUUAUUCUAACUGAUUGGUAGGUGGAAACCCCAAGCCAGGAAAUUUUACUGUAAUGGUUCUAAGUAGGUCACAUUCUAGGUCACCUGACUAAAAAUAUCUUUUGAGAUUGUGAAUCAGAAGUUCAAUCAAUUCAAAACAAGUCAUGAAAGGACAAAAUGAAAAGGGGUAGAAAAGGCAGAAUGAAAAGAAAGUAAGGAAAUAUAUCAAGACUUCUAAAAACAUCAGCAUUCAAAAUAACGUGAAUGGAUUAAACUCCCUAGUACAAAAGAGAACUGCAAAUAAAUGUUAGACUCUAAUAAGCAGGUUUAUUGUUAGUAGUAACAUGGAUAAUAUGAUCUUUAAUAUUUAAUAAUUAUAAUAUUAAAUGAUAAUAUAAGUAAGUAAAUAUAUCAAGUUUGUUUUAAAUCAAGUGUUUGGCCGUAAAACAGAUACAGGUACAAAGGGAGCCUGGCAGAAUUGUUGUGGCUGAAAUGCUCACAGACCAAGAAGACCAUGGCAAGACGACUAGGAGCCAGCAGAAUGUUGCUCCCACUGGUCAAAUUUAGGACAAUUCAAGCAUCAAAAGAAUAAUAUCUUUCAUUGAUGAUGACACAUUGAAUUUUUAAAGAUGGUUUCAUAGAGGACUUCCACCAUGGGAAGACAGAAUAGACAUGUUCACUAGUCCUUCCCAUAAGUAUAAUAAAAAAUCCUGGACGUCAUAGAUAAAACAAACCUAAGAAGACUCAGAAAGCUGGAGAGAAGAAGACAGAAAGGCUAGAGACCUGAGAUCCGAGGCAGCAUAUGGGUGUGAGCUCCUUGGGUCCUCCUUAUGCCUCAUGUAUCCCAGACUUGGAGCUGAAGAAGCCAGAAACCUUGAAACGCCCACGGGCGCAGGCAAGAAGAGGCCCCAACCAAAGCCUCCUCUCUCGAGCCAGAGAGUUAGGGAGGGGCAGCCUGGCAGGACACAGAUCUCUUAGACAAUAACCGCUCUAACCCCACCAAACGCCAUGGAGAACCCUGGCCCCAGCCGCACCCGUGAGGCAAAGUCGCAGCAGGGAGCUUAGGCUUCUACCUUCAGACUGUAAUGAGACCCCAGACCCCCACCCACCCACCAGGUGCUGUCAAAGAAGGCAAAGGAAAGAUCCGGGAAUUUCAACCCUUGUUUUGGCUAGUGCCAUCAACUCCUUAGUGACCCAGGGGACAAGAGAGCAGGACCCUGCCCAGUCUUCUUGCACCAUCCUCUCAUCUCCUGGGCCUGUAUCAGACAAUGCUCUGCUAUUAUUCACAGAGUUUUCACAACCAAUUUUUUUGGAGGUGGGUGGCCAGGUCCUUCUUCCUAGUCUGUCUGGGUCUGGAAGCUCCACAGAAACCUGUCCACCCUGGUAGUAUUUGAAAUAUUGGUGGCAUAGCUUUCAGCAUCACAGCAACACAGCCACCACAGGAUGACAACCAACAGGUGGGUGGUGUGGUUUCCUGACAGAAAGUGAACCUGGGCCAUGGUGGUGAGAGUGCUGAAUCUUAACCACUGGACCAGCACGGCUGGCCAUUUCAACCCUACCUUGUGGUAAUGAGCACCCAGCCCACAGUAUCACUGGCAGCCUAGUCUUCCAUGCACACCCCGCAGUAAUGCGGUGCCCCCAGCCCCUGCUUCCUAAGGUGGUGUUAGAGGAGUCCUGGUGAAGGGGCAGAACUCUCACCACCCAACAAUAAUGAGGCUGCUCUUCCACACACACGACCCACCCACUCACUCCCCAAAGUGUCCAUACAGGCCAUUGGGUAGCAGUAACAAGACACGACUAUCUUUCCAACCAGGGAGGUGUCAGUGGAAUCCUAGCGGGGAGUCGGAGUUCUCACCUCUGCCCGGAGGUAAUCAGGAGCAACGCCCCCCUCAGGAGUUGCUGCAGGCUGAGUGGGGAACCUGAGCUCUACCUCUGCUCACAGCAAUGAGACAGUCUCCCCUUCCCCUGCCAGAGACAGCUGGUUUAUCAGAGAGGACUGGGGAAAGAGCGUCAGCUAGGAGGGCGCUUCCUGGACUCCAAAUAAAUCUAACGCUGACUGCAAAACUAGCACUUCGAAGGAAUCCAAACUGAAUUAUAUCAGCCUGUCGAGCAAUUUAUGCUCCAGGCAUUGUUGCAAAGAAUAAAGCAAUCAACUAACAACUAGUAGAGCUUAACAGGCAGGCGUGGCAGGGAAACAGCCACACCGAGUCACGGCAAAACCACUGUCCUCCCAGGGUGACCGUGACCAUACCGGGGUUGUGUGCCCUAAGGAGCAACUUCACAGACUUCCACUGGGGCAGGGGGAUAGGAUUUACUAAAACAUUUCAGCUAGUCACUAAAAACAGAAACAAGCCAAUACCGAUCCCAAAGGGAGAGAUCAGUACCCAGAAUUGCUACAAUAUAUUAUCUAAAACGUCGAGUUACAAACAAGAAAAAUCACGAGACAUGAAAGAAACACGCACUCUUAUCCAUAUACCAGAGAGGAAGCAAGCAAAAGAAACUGCCUGUAAGCAUGACCAGGUGCCAGGUUUAACAGCCUUUAAAAUGCCAUUAUACGUAUUUUCAGAGAACUAAAGGAAAGCAUAAGUAAGGAGUUAAAGGAAGGCGUGAUGAUGAUGUCUCAUCAAUAGAGAACAUCAUUGAAAUGAUGGAAGUUAUUUAAAAAGAGGAAGGAGGAAGAGGACCCAAUGGAAGUUCUGGGGUUAAAAAGUAUGAAAACUGGAAAAAAGUUUCAUGAGAGGGGCUCAACAAUGAAUUUGAACUGGCAGAAGAAAGAAUCAGCCAAUAUAAAGACAGAUCCAUACAUUAUGCAACUUGACCAACAGAGAAUAAAAGGGAAUAAAGAAAAAUGGACAGAGCCUCAGAGAAACGUGGGACACCAUUAAAUGGAGCUACAUAUGUGUAAUGGAGUGCCGAAAGGAAAGGCAGGAGACAAAGAAGCAGGAAAAAGUAUUUUAAGCAAGAAAGGCUGGAAAAUUACAAAAUAUACAGUCCUACGUUACUUAGCGAUGGGGACACGCUCUGAGAAAUGCAUUGCUACGUGGUUGCAUCAUUGUGCAAACAUCACAGAGUGCACUUACACGAACUUAGGUGGUACAGCCCACCGCACAGCUGGGCUGUAGGGUGCAGCCUGUUGCUCCUGGGCUGCAAACCUGUGCAGCAUGUUACUGGACUGAACACUGCAGACAGUCGUAACACAGUGCUAAGUGCUUGUGUGUCUAAACAUAUCUAAACAUAGCAAAGGUAGCGUAAAAAUAUGGCAUAAAAGAUAAAAAAUGGCACACCUGUAUAGGGCACUUACCACGAAUGGAGCUUGCGGGAAUGGAAGUUGCUCUGGGCGAGCCAGUGAGUGAGUGGUGAGUCAUGUGAAGGCCUAGGACAUCGCUGGACACUCCUGUAGACUUUAUCCACCCUGCACACUUGGG